rnacentral:rRNA from 1 species
UACGUAGGGCGCAAGCGUUGUCCGGAAUUAUUGGGCGUAAAGAGCUCGUAGGCGGUUUGUCGCGUCUGCUGUGAAAACCUAAGGCUCAACCUUGGGCUUGCAGUGGGUACGGGCAGACUAGAGUGCGGUAGGGGUGACUGGAAUUCCUGGUGUAGCGGUGGAAUGCGCAGAUAUCAGGAGGAACACCGAUGGCGAAGGCAGGUCACUGGGCCGCAACUGACGCUGGAGGAGCGAAA